rnacentral:lncRNA from 1 species
UCUCUGGUGCUUCUGCGCCUGGGUGGCCGCCGGCUGGCCGCCAGGCAGCGCCCUACAGCUCCGGCCGGGCAUGCCAAAUGUUUGUGAAGUCCCCCAACUGUGUGUGCAGCCGCUCACACACGCUGGCUCUGGAGACGGGGCUGUGCCGGCCUCGGAUGGUGUGUGGCUUGUGAAAGAAGGACCCGGUACUACACCAGCUACAGACAAGCAUACAGCAUGCAGCAACAGGCCAUCUACAAGUGCUGGCCUGGUUGGAGCCCACAGGACAAUGAACCUGGAUGCCUACACUCUGUCCCUGCAGUGGGAACAUGUUUCAAUGGAAGGAGUUGCUCAGACGGUCAGGCCCAGCAGUGCAAAGUGUUCAGUGGGUUUUCAAGACCACCAAUAUUGUGAGUCACCAAAAAGACCAUUUUCUUAUGAUUUGGACCUGUCUGCUUUGCUUUUAGGGGCCAGCCAAUGCUGUCGAUUCAGACUAAUGACAGGGUUAUCCCUCUGGGGACUGGUGAACAUUUAA